GUGUCAGCCGCCGCGGUAAUACGUAGGGUGCAAGCGUUAAUCGGAAUUACUGGGCGUAAAGCGUGCGCAGGCGGUUAUGCAAGACAGAUGUGAAAUCCCCGGGCUCAACCUGGGAACUGCAUUUGUGACUGCAUAGCUAGAGUACGGUAGAGGGGGAUGGAAUUCCGCGUGUAGCAGUGAAAUGCGUAGAUAUGCGGAGGAACACCGAUGGCGAAGGCAAUCCCCUGGACCUGUACUGACGCUCAUGCACGAAAGCGUGGGGAGCAAACAGGAUUAGAUACCCGCGUAGUCC
rnacentral:rRNA from 1 species